GACGAACGCUGGCGGCGUGCUUAACACAUGCAAGUCGAACGGAAAGGCCCUGCUUUUGUGGGGUGCUCGAGUGGCGAACGGGUGAGUAACACGUGAGUAACCUGCCCUUGACUUUGGGAUAACUUCAGGAAACUGGGGCUAAUACCGGAUAGGAGCUCCUGCUGCAUGGUGGGGGUUGGAAAGUUUCGGCGGUUGGGGAUGGACUCGCGGCUUAUCAGCUUGUUGGUGGGGUAGUGGCUUACCAAGGCUUUGACGGGUAGCCGGCCUGAGAGGGUGACCGGCCACAUGGGGACUGAGAGACGGCGCAGACUCCUACGGGAGGCAGCAGUGGGGAAUAUUGCACAAUGGGCGGAAGCCUGAGGCAGCAACGCCGCGUGCGGGAUGACGGCCUUCGGGUUGUAAACCGCUUUCGCCUGUGACGAAGCGUGAGUGACGGUAAUGGGUAAAGAAGCACCGGCUAACUACGUG
rnacentral:rRNA from 1 species